rnacentral:lncRNA from 1 species
ACAGGAACUGCAGCCACUCUUUGCCUCAGUGACUUGUCCACCCAGGAAACUACUAAUGGUGCAGUUCUGUUCUAUGAGCUGCUCCUGCCCUUUGAGGUCACUCCCUGCAGGAAAGUGGCUGCACUUCAUUUGGAACAACACUUUAGGUGGGAGAAGAGUAAGAUGAUAGUUGACCUUCCUUUGACCCUGGUGUGCAAUGGGAUGCAGUCAGCAGUGUCUGUACCUUAAGGCUGGGUGAGGAAGGGCAAUGAACAACGCUCAGCAUCCUUCCCUGUGGUCUGGGAAAUCCUCUUCCAACACAAUUGCACUGUGGCAAUUAUCAGAGACAGUUGCCACAGCCCUCACUGUCAAGUUGCUUUUCAGAAUGAAAAUGAUGGUUGGGGAGCUUGGAUACGAUGAUAAAGAUGACUCCCAUCUGAAGUAG